rnacentral:lncRNA from 1 species
CAGACUGAGAAAGACAGUGUUUCCUUCUGGUCACCGACAGGAGGCGCUGCCACAAGCCGCAGAGAGACUCUUGAGGGAGGGCUAGCUGACCCAGCCCUGCUCCCACGCAGGCCCCGCCCUCAUCUUGCAAGGCCACCACCCACUUAUCUCCUCCCCCCUAAGCCACUUGGGCCAGUCUUGGAGAAGGUCUAGGCCCCAGAAGUGGACUGUCCACCCUAGUGUUACUGUGUUUAUACGUUUCCUCCCUGUUUGCUUUGAACUUCUUUUUUUCUGCUCCACUUGAAGGGACUCUGAUCUCUCAGUCAAAGUCCCUCGGGUGGUCAUUUCUCUCCCACCUGGAUUUUGACCCCAUUCUCAGAAGGCCACAGCCGACAUGUCUGGAUAGUCACUUCAACAUUGUUUGUUAGUAGGUUUGUCAGGACCCAUGGGUAAGUUGAUGUAGAGAAAAAAAGCAAGUUGCAUAGACAUUUUAAACAUAAAAAUAAACCAUGUAUGUUAAUACAGAUUGAGUAUCCUUCAUCCAAAAUACUUAGGACCAGAAAUGUUUCAGAUUUCAUAUUUUUUCUUAAUAUUUGCAUUUACAUAACAGUAUAUCUUGGAGAUGGGACCGAAGUCUGAAC